rnacentral:rRNA from 1 species
UACGUAGGGGGCAAGCGUUGUCCGGAUUUAUUGGGCGUAAAGAGCGUGUAGGCGGCUAGAUAGGUCCGUUGUGAAAACUCGAGGCUCAACCUCGAGACGCCGGUGGAAACCAUCUAGCUAGAGUCCGGAAGAGGAGAGUGGAAUUCCUGGUGUAGCGGUGAAAUGCGCAGAUAUCAGGAAGAACACCCGUGGCGAAGGCGGGUCUCUGGGCCGUAACUGACGCUGAGGAGCGAAAGCGUGGGGAGCGAACAGG